rnacentral:lncRNA from 1 species
CCUUGGCGUCCACCUUGGCCCUAAGCGUUCUUCGAGUCAUCCCUAUCCUCAUACCUCUGCAUCCUUCGGAGCGACUUAGGUUAGUCCCGAAACUUUCGUUUCCUUUCUUGCCAUCUAGGUGCCCCUUCUCCUCCAUUUUUCUUCUGCCGCAUUCCUCUGGUUUGGUCCCCCACAAACCUUUCAUCUCUUAUUUUGCCUGAUUCCUCUGGGGUUUUUAGGG